AGCACAGGCAUGCAUGGAGUCACUUGGCCAAGAUGCCUUGGCCCUGGACCAAACUGCUACGGACAUGAUGCAGCCAUCCACACAGGGCCUGAGGGGAGCUAUGAAGACUCCGCCCAGCGACAGAAGAAUGAAUAGUGACAGAUGCAGGGGAUCAUCAUGUACCUUCUGGUUUACACAAAACACAAAGCUGCUAAAGAGAAAUUUUGAAAACUCCUUAACCAGCAGCUAAAGCUGGACCUCUGAGAAGGAGUCCAGUCAGCUCCCCUGCCUCCAAGAAUGAAGAUUAAUGCCUUUAAAGACAUAUAAUAACCAAGGGCUUCACGCUUUUACUCCUCAAACAAAUAUGAAAUUCCAGAGGCAGAACUCUUGCACUCCGGUGAACCACACACUUGGUUU
rnacentral:lncRNA from 1 species